rnacentral:tRNA from 1 species
CCCAGGGUAGUGUAAAUGGUUAACGUGCUCAGCUGCUAACUGGAAGGUUGGAGGUUCAAGUCCACCCACUGGCA